UACGUAGGUGGCAAGCGUUGUCCGGAUUUAUUGGGUUUAAAGGGUGCGUAGGCGGCCCUGUAAGUCAGUGCUGAAAUAUCCCGGCUUAACCGGGAGGGUGGCAUUGAUACUGCGGGGCUAGAGUACAGAUGAGGUAGGCGGAAUUGACGGUGUAGCGGUGAAAUGCUUAGAUAUCGUCAAGAACACCUAUAGCGAAGGCAGCUUACUAGGCUGUAACUGACGCUGAGGCACGAAAGCAUGGGGAGCGAACAGG
rnacentral:rRNA from 1 species